rnacentral:misc_RNA from 1 species
GAUGAAGAACGCAGCGAAAUGCGAUAAGUAGUGUGAAUUGCAGAAUUCAGUGAAUCAUCGAAUCUUUGAACGCACAUUGCGCCCUUUGGUAUUCCUUAGGGCAUGCCUGUUCGAGCGUCAUUUAAACCUUCAAGCUAAGCUUGGUGUUGGGUGACUGUCCGCUUCACGGCGGACUCGCCUCAAAAUUAUUGGCGGCCGGUACAUUGGCUUCGAGCGCAGCAGAAACGCGAACUCGGGCCCGUCGUAUUGGCUCCCAGAAGCUAUCUUCACAAUUUUGACCUCGGAUCAGGUAGGGAUACCCGCUGAACUUAAGCAUCUCAAUAAGCGGAGGA